rnacentral:misc_RNA from 1 species
GUAACAAGGUUUCCGUAGGUGAACCUGCGGAAGGAUCAUUACCGAGUGAGGGCCCUCUGGGUCCAACCUCCCACCCGUGUUUAUUUUACCUUGUUGCUUCGGCGGGCCCGCCUUAACUGGCCGCCGGGGGGCUCACGCCCCCGGGCCCGCGCCCGCCGAAGACACCCUCGAACUCUGUCUGAAGAUUGUAGUCUGAGUGAAAAUAUAAAUUAUUUAAAACUUUCAACAACGGAUCUCUUGGUUCCGGCAUCGAUGAAGAACGCAGCGAAAUGCGAUACGUAAUGUGAAUUGCAAAUUCAGUGAAUCAUCGAGUCUUUGAACGCACAUUGCGCCCCCUGGUAUUCCGGGGGGCAUGCCUGUCCGAGCGUCAUUGCUGCCCUCAAGCCCGGCUUGUGUGUUGGGCCCCGUCCUCCGAUCCCGGGGGACGGGCCCGAAAGGCAGCGGCGGCACCGCGUCCGGUCCUCGAGCGUAUGGGGCUUUGUCACCCGCUCUGUAGGCCCGGCCGGCGCUUGCCGAUCAACCCAAAUUUUUAUCCAGGUUGACCUCGGAUCAGGUAGGGAUACCCGCUGAACUUAAGCAUAUC